rnacentral:tRNA from 1 species
GUAUAGCUCAGUAGAAAAGCACUUGCCUAGUAUGCUUGAGGCCCUGGGUUCAAUCCCCAGUAC